rnacentral:piRNA from 1 species
UUUAUGGUCUGAGUUUGUUCCCUA